rnacentral:rRNA from 1 species
CACCGCCCGUCACACCACGAAAGCUGUCGGCACCUGAAAUUGCUUUAGCUAACCGUUAAGGAGGCGAGCAAUGAAGGUGAAGAUGGUGAUUGGGGUG